AUGAUGUUCACGAAAUGGUCUUAAAAAAUUCUAGAAAAAGAAAGAAGACGAUAUUUUUGUAAAUUCAAAAUUUUACGAUUUGCACACAUUUUUCUAACGUGAAAGUGUCUUACCUUCCCUAGAAUUGGAAGUUCAAUGGAUCCCCAGGUGUCCGCGGCCCAAUGAACCAGACCGGAUCCAAAAUCAGCCGUGAUAAUACCGCAUAAUGCAGCCAUUGCUAUAGAACUUAAAUUUUCCAAUCGUAAUCUGAUUAACACAAGCACAGAGUUCACGGCUAUGAGUGUGAUACAAAUCCCUACGCAGAUACACUCUUGCGUUCUUUUCCCUGAAAAAAUAUACGAGAAACCGAGCUACAGCUGUACAAUGAGAGCCUUAUCUAAUACGUACCGGUACUGUACAGAUUCGCAAGUUCCUGGGCACCUUUAUGAUUCGGACCCCAUCUAGGCACGGUCUUAUCUUCUUGCGACGUUGGUAUUACCGAAUUGGCAUUAGGAUCAUCCUCGAGCAUCGAGUUUUCAUAAAUCUGGCGCUCAGUCUUCACAGGAGCCAAGAAAUUGGUCGCCAUAGAACACGCGGCCGAUGCGGCUUGCCCCAGGCCAAGUUUUGGAUUUUUCUUCGAUGAAAUAAACAUAUUUGAAAGGAAUAUCGCUGAUGCAACGGUGUAACUAACGGUGACUGUGCGCACUCGCGAGGAGGUGAGAUCAAAGUGAAUGAAGAAAAAACAGAUUGAAGUGAUCUCAUUUAAUCGCACCAGUCACAAUCUUCGUCGUAUUAUUUAAAAGCUUCAUUGUGCGCACACGCAGCCAGCACCUUCGCGCUAUACGAACUCGCAUACAAAGAACACGUGAACGAGCGUAAAUCAGACAUAAAUAUACUCAUUGUGGGAUAUAAAGUAUUUUCUACUGACAAAGGAAGAAUGCGGAUUCUUGAUCGACGAGUUCGACGACAAAUAUAUUUGAUAGACACUUGCACCCCUCCUGUCAGCCUGUCACACAUACAAGGACGCAACAAGGCGUGCAUAUGUACUACAUGCAUGCAUACGCAUACUCGAUUGUUGAUUAAAGAAGAUGAAGAGGAACCGGCAUUUGUUCGCAAUGGGGUAAGCGUUACGAUACGACAUACGGCAUCGUACCUGCUUGCUGCUGCCGGCAGCUCCAAGGUGUCUCCUCGACGACGACGACGAGGGUCGACGUGAUCGCCGACACGCGAUGCGGCAGCCAUGCGAGGAUUGGUCUCGUUACAAAAUUUAAUUAGUCACUAAUGCGGGGUGAUUAGAACGGGGUGACACACAGCGACGAUAACGGCAACGGAAAGAAGAAGACGUUAGAGUCGUGCGUCUCUCGUACCGGUACGAUGAUACAACACAUGUAGUACAUAGACACACACACACAUGUACGCGUCGCAUCGUAUCGCAUCGCGUGCAUUCGCAAAAGACAUCACGCUCGCUCUUCACGCCGGCUACUCCCUAAAUUCCUAGUAAUAGAUAUCAUAUUCUUUUUCGGAGCCGACUUUUCGCACCGAAGCUACUACUCACAAUAAAAGGCUAACUAUAUAGGCCGAGUGGGCGCGAACCACUGCGUUAUAAAAGGCAGUCUUAGAGAGAGAGGGAGAGAGAGAGGAAAGUCAAAGAGAAAAAUAAUUGGCAAUGAUAAGGAGAGAAUGCGAGAAAGUAUGAAUGAAAGGGAAAAAGGGACGAGGAAGGGAAGGAAAAGAGAGAGCGAGGGAGAGACGGAAUGGAUAGAAAACGAGAGCGACAGCCGGCGGAAGAAGCGCGCGCGUGCGUUUCUGCUCGAAAGAGUCUCGAGGAUGAGCCAUGAAAAUAACGCGAUCGAAACGCGCGGCGAUUAAAAUGACUGAAAACAACUACCAAACGCGACGGAGGCGCUGUUACCUCUUCCCCGAGUUCCCCGUUCGUUACCCGCCACCCACAUACUCGUACAUUCCCCGCGAUCGGCGCCGCCCGACGAUGACUACGACGGCCCGUCAGCGUCGCGACGCCGUUUCUUGUGGCGCCGUCAUGCGGUUGAUUGUGGAUAUAUGUGAUGCGAGCGUCGAUGCGCGUACAUAUAUGUUAGUUAUGUACAUACGUGCGCGAUUAGCGCACACGCACACAUCAAUGGCCAGAGGCCACAUGCCGAAUGCUGACGACACAUGCGUGCCGAGACGCGCGCACGCUCUUCUCUCUCUUUCCCUUUUUCUCUCUUUUUGUAUGAGCGACGCUCACGUCGCGUGCGAGGUCUCGUACAAUUUUUCAGUCCUUGAUCGAAUUAACCCUUUCGAGGAAAAUAAAAACUCAUUUAUAUAUUUUAACUGCAUUUUUCCCUUUACAUAUGAAUUUUAUUCAGCGACGCGAAAAUUUAAUAUAUUUACGUAAAGAAAACUAUAUAAUUUACUUUGAUAUUCUUACUCAUUCAUUCUCUGAUUUGCUAGUAAAUUAUAUAUAUAUCGAAAUGAACGAUAUUUUGAAGCUACAUGUAUAUAUAUAAUAUUUGUUGCUAAUUAUUUUUUCUCAUCGUUAUAUCAUCGCGCGCGCGCCUCGCGAUAUUUGUAAAGCAAACACGUGUACUAAAUUUUAAAUCUUGCACAUAUUUACGUGCCUAAGAGAAUUAACCAAUAUACUAUAUAUACCGCAUACUAUAUAAGGUCACUUAAUGAAGCCUUUCGUAGUUACACAAGGACAAUGUGCCUCAUAGAUAUUGGAAAUCGUUAAUGACAUAAUACGUAUCUCCGUGUAUCGAUUUUAUAAUUUGGACGCUUUCUCAAUCUAUCAAUUUAAUCCCUGUGGAAUUGUUUUUCUUUAUCCAAAAAUGUAGAUUUAAAAUUAAAAUAGAGCUGAGAUACUUUGCUUUUCAUAUUUUAUAUACACGUGCAUUUUAUAUGUGGUCAUAUAUUUUAAAGUAAAAAAUAAUAUAGAAUUUACACAUACACACAACACAAUUCAUACUUAAAUUACCCUUAAAUCAAAACGUGUAGAUGGCUAAGGUAAAGGACUCACUUGUCGCAGUGUAGUUUAUAUACGAUUAUGCGUAUCCUCGAUUAGCGCGCACACGUUACUUCCUACUAUACACAUAUAACAUGUGAUGUUUCACAAAGUAUUCAUACUUUAUUUAGAAUCUACUUCCAUCGUCGAGGACAAACUCGAUUCUCUUUAUUCGAAAUAAUAAUACGACCGUUAAGACCAUUAAAGCACAAUGGAUUAUACACCACAAUGCAAAUGUACUCGCGAUAAUAAAGUCUCAUAUCAGAUAUCCCGACAAUCAUCGCGAUAUUUGCAAAGAAAUUUUGUCAUUUUCUUCAAAAUCGAUCGAUUUCUAAUCUAUAUUAGAAAUAGUUUGGAUUAACUUGGCAAUCCGUCAAUAUUUUCAAACGUCAACACAAUCAACAAUACCAUAAUGAACAGAGAUUGAUUUCACCCGCAUAUAUAUAUGUGUAUGGGUGUUUUUCUAUGUAUAUACAUAUAUAUGUACAUGUAUAUGUGAACGGUUAAUUAUUUAAGAAAGAAGCCAAAUGUCACACUUUGAAGGUGUACUGCGAAUAUCUAUUCUCUGUGUGUAGAAUACAUACUAUAGAACAAUAUAUAUAUAUAGUAUAUUAUAGAUUAUAAUUGCGCAGACAAUUAAAUAAUUUCUGAAUGAAGUCUUUAGAUUUGAAAACAUCGAAAUUACGUGAAUGAUAAUUUUCAUACCACGAUUCAAGUAUAAGAUUUUAAAGAAACAUAUAAUUUUGAUUGAAACACACACGAUCAGUUUCCUAUGAAUGAAAUGCGGGAAAGUAAAAUUAAUUUGAUAUAAAUUUACCGAAAUUAUUGCACUAUUUACAAAACUAUUUCAAUUUAAUGAGAUUAAUCUGAAAUUUGAAAAGACAAAAGUGAAAAAUUCAUCAACAAUUACAUGAUAUGGAUUAUAUAGAUAUUUAAGUACUACAUAUCAUAUUAUAAAUUGCCUUUGAUUAUAUAAUAUUUUAAUAUAAUCUUGAAGACUUUUUUUUUUAAUGAAGAAAGGAAAAAGUCCGACUCGCGAGACAUGGCUUUAAGAUAAUCAUGGUCUGUGUUUCUAGGCAGGAAAAGUCGAUACCUCGGAAAAGUGUAACACACAAGUUUCGACCGAACCUUCUGUUAUUUUGCGAUGAAACGAAAGCGAAAUAUCUAGGUAUAUGUAAGUAGGUGUAUGUGUGUAUACCUAUAUGUACAUAUAUAUAACUUUAUGACCGUCUCUUACAGUCAUAUAGAUAGCGAGUGACUAUAACGUCAUCGUAGAGCGAAUAUUCGAACAAGUCGCGGCUAAAAUGGCUUCUAUUAGACUCACGCACGCAUCCAUUCUCCAUUAUUAUAUUUUUGUCAGUAUGCAUAUGUGCGUGCCGACUAUGCGUGUUACACUUGUAAAUGAAUGAUUAUAAUCUUUCAUCGGAGCAUCACGCGAUACGUAUUUCCCUAUUUUAAUCUACAUUUGGAUUUUAUCAUUCUUUUAGUUCAAUUAUAUAUCGUCGUUAUCGAAAAUUUGCACGAGUUUACGAGAAUCUCAAUGAUAGGAAUGUAUUGAAAAUAAGAGCAUUAUUAGAUCUCGCUAGCUUUGCUACUUUAUUGUUUUAAAAUAAAAAGGCUCUAUAUAAAUGAAGAAGAAAGAAAGAGAUAGAAAAAGAGACAUUCUCUUCCACUGCAUAUUAAAAUAGAUUGAAUCUAAA